rnacentral:other from 1 species
GGUAAUCGAAGGUGCUCGUUAAGGCCAGCAAAAUUCAACCGACAAAUAACAUCCGGGAGAACAUAUUUUUAUUCCUAUGAAACGCCUCAGGAUAGGGGACUUCAGCAGAAUAAAAUAUGUCACCCACCUUUAGUGAGUGGCGGGUGUGAAUUUUGCAGCUGACGACAUCUUGGAUGAAUU